rnacentral:lncRNA from 1 species
AUGCAUCGAAAACACGAAAUUAAAAUCCUAAAGGGGCAUUAUGUGCCCCAUUACUCACAAUUUCUCUUCAAGAAAUUAUUAUCUCUCAAGAACAAACCCUUGCCCUUCAAGAUUCAAGCUUAAGUUACAAGAACACCAUCAAGAACCUUUACAAAUUCCUCAGCCAAGAUAUGUUAGAUGUUCAUCCAUGAGCCUUUUCCACCCAUGGAAUCCAAGAAUCUAAUUUUAAAUUUGAAGUUAUGAUUAUUACAAGUUAUUAUGAUUUUUAACCAAGAAUCC